rnacentral:ribozyme from 1 species
AUGUGGCGGUGAAAAAGGGUGGGAACACCUUGCCUCUUUUUCGUUCACAUCCAAGCAUCAGCCAAAU